rnacentral:rRNA from 1 species
UUGCUGGAACGCGCUUCGGCGCACCCAGAAACCCUUUGUGAACUUAUACCUUACUGUUGCCUCGGCGCAGGCCGGCCCCCCCACCGGGGCCCCUCGGAGACGAGGAGCAGCCCGCCGGCGGCCAACCAAACUCUUGUUUCUUAGUGAAUCUCUGAGUAAAAAACAUAAAUGAAUCAAAACUUUCAACAACGGAUCUCUUGGUUCUGGCAUCGAUGAAGAACGCAGCGAAAUGCGAUAAGUAAUGUGAAUUGCAGAAUUCAGUGAAUCAUCGAAUCUUUGAACGCACAUUGCGCCCUCUGGUAUUCCGGAGGGCAUGCCUGUUCGAGCGUCAUUUCAACCCUCAAGCCUGGCUUGGUGUUGGGGCACUGCUCCGAGAGGAGCAGGCCCUGAAAUCUAGUGGCGAGCUCGCCAGGACCCCGAGCGUAGUAGUUAUAUCUCGUUCUGGAAGGCCCUGGCGGUGCCCUGCCGUUAAACCCCCAACUUCUGAAAUUU